rnacentral:tRNA from 1 species
GCCGAAGUGGCGGAAUGGCAGACGCACUAGACUCAAAAUCUGGCGGGGGCAACCCCGUAAGGGUUCAAGUCCCUUCUUCGGCACCA